CAAAAUUUUCCAGUUGCAACAAUGUGGGGAAACAAAUGUAAUUGCAGACAACAAUGUUGAAAGCAUGAAACAUCCUGUUUCUUUGAGCUGCAGUUAGAAUACAAAUUGAUAAUUUUUUCGGAAGGCAUUGACUUAGGUAUCCUUCUUAGGAGUGGAGGAGUCCUUUAGCAAAUAGAAGUAGUUCUUUGACAAUAUUUAUGAUCAGCCGAAAAAAAAAAAAAAAAAAAGAGAAGAA